UCUCUAUUGGAAUAUUUCUUUUCACAUAUUGCUAGCUCCUUAGGUGUAAUGUUGUUUAAAAUAUUUGUCCUGGAGCUCCUUUGCUCCUGUUCUUGGUGUAGAUAAACCAAAACUGCUCCUUUUAGGCCAUCCAAGAGUCUGGAACGACCAACAUUGUAAUUAGCAUAUGUGGACAGUUACACUACAAUGCCCCCAAUUGUUUUUCAAUGAUAACUCUUGCUCCAAAUUUUGCUUUCCGGGAGGUGGUUGAGGUAGAGAUUGUUGUGUUGUGGCAGUGCACACUACGGUGUCGGGUUGCAUAGGGGCAUGCCCUUUCUCAGUAUUCAAAUAUCAUGUACUAAUUGUGUUUUCACUUUGUAUUGCUUACUCACAGAUGUCAUCGGAAGCGUCAUGGUUAUUUCUUAAGCUCACCAAAUAUUUCUCUUCAUAUUUUAACAUUUCACUUUCUGUCAAUAAGCAUUUAUCUCUAUGCUAACUUGGUGUAAAGUAGCCUUGAUGAUGUGUGGAGGCGGUCUGCUCAGUGACUGUUAGUAAGGUUGAUCAUCGGCAAGCGAAAGUGCUUUGUGGAUGCUUGCACGACCAAGCGGCUUGGGGGGAGGAGUGCGUGUUUUCGAGCCCUUCAAGCUCCCAGAGUGCAAACACCAUGAGAUAGGGAUGUGAAACUGAAGGAAAGAAGGCCCUGACCACUCUCAUCAUUUACUCAAGUAAUAACACCAUCGGCGACAGGAACGACAAGCUGACGCAGAUCAUUUCUUGGUGGCUGCUAAUGAAUCAUGUAAGGAUGGCGCAGAACUCACCAGAGGAAAAAGACCGAACUACGGAGUUUCCCCAUUGUUAGAGCUCUUGGUGCCCGGACAAGCCGUCUAUCUCGAUUCUCCCUUCGCAGCUCAGCUCCACCGACCAGAUGGCGAUGGCUGACGAAGAGCUUGAUGUCCAUGGCUCGUCAGGUUCCGCUGGCUCCACUAACAGCCGUCUAUGGGCGCUUGCACAGGAUACCAAGCGAGUGUUUAGGAUCCCACACCGGGAAUUUCUUGACAUGCUCCUAGCACACCUUAGGCUAAUCAUUGGCUCAGUAUGAUCGUGUUGUAUAUGACGAUGGCAAGAUCUGUGUGACCAUCUUUUUCAACACCUCUACAUUGGAUCUUGGAGGACCAAUCAUUAUGAACGCGUCGUGUCGUCAUUCCUCCUGGUCUACAUUAUGCCCAAGACAUGCAAAGUUGUGGAUCGUCUGCAAGCUACCAUGUGCUUUUGUACGUCCUAUGCUUGUGAUAUUUGCUACUAAACCUAUUGUGCUACGUGCUUUCUAUGUUCGUACAUUGUUAGGUGGCUCC